CAUGUGCUCUUCACGCGAUGUCGAUACUCCGGGUUUUUUGUUCUGUCGACGAUAAGCAACAUCCUAUUUUUCAUUUGUCGACAGAUCGGGCUGACACACUUAAAAACAUCAACC